rnacentral:rRNA from 1 species
UACGGAGGGUGCAAACGUUGUCCGGAAUUACUGGGCGUAAAGCGCAUGUAGGUGGUUUUGUAAGUCAGCGAUGAAAGACCGACGCUUAACGUCGGGAACGUUUCUGAUACUGCAAAACUUGAGGAAGACAGGGGUAAGCGGAACUUUAGGUGUAGGAGUGAAAUCCGUAGAUAUCUAAAGGAACACCAAUGGCGAAGGCAGCUUACUGGGUCUUAUCUGACACUGAGAUGCGAAAGCGUGGGGAGCGAACGGG